rnacentral:rRNA from 1 species
AAAUGAAUUGACGGGGACCCGCACAAGCAGCGGAGCAUGUGGUUUAAUUCGAAGCAACGCGAAGAACCUUACCAAGGUUUGACAUCGUCUGACCGCCAUAGAGAUAUGGUUUCCUUAGCAAUAAGGCAGGCAGACAGGUGGUGCAUGGUUGUCGUCAGCUCGUGUCGUGAGAUGUUGGGUUAAGUCCCGCAACGAGCGCAACCCCUAUGAAUAGUUGCCAAUAUUAAGUUAGGAACUCUAUUCAGACUGCCGUGGACAACACGGAGGAAGGUGGGGAUGACGUCAAAUCAUCACGCCCCUUACAUCUUGGGCUACACACGUGCUACAAUGGCCGGAACAAAGAGCUGCCAAGCAGUAAUGCCGAGCGAAUCUCAUAAAACCGGUCUCAGUUCAGAUUGUGGGCUGCAACCCGCCCACAUGAAGUCGGAGUUGCUAGUAAUCGCGAAUCAGCACGUCGCGGUGAAUGCGUUCCCGGGUCUUGUACACACCGCCCGU